rnacentral:lncRNA from 1 species
UCGGGUCAGACGCCCCAAUGGCGGAAUUGAAAAUGGGGCUCAGACAUAUUGGGCUCGGUACACACAUUUGGCCCAAACAACAAAUAAUCAUCAUAGCCCAUACAAUGUAUAUCAAAGGAUACAAUAAAUAUACAGUGUAUAUACAGUGUGUACAAUCAUAUAAUCUAGGGGUGUUCAUCGGGCGGAUUGGGCGGCUUUUACUCUUAACGGUUUGGCUUAACGGUUUAGAGGAUACAAUAAAUAUACAGUGUAUAUACAAUGUGUACAAUCAUGUAAUCUCCUUCAUCUCAACACCCCCCUCAAGUUGGAGGGGGAAACUACCUACAACUUGGAUAACAGCGGAAGAAGCAUAGUGCCAGGCAGUGGCUUAGUGAGGAGGUCGGCCAGUUUACGAGAAGUAGGAACAUGAAGCAGCUUGAGAAAACCAGAUUGCAGCAGUCCCGAACAAAAUGGCAGUCCACCUCGAUAUGUUUGGUACGUUCAUGAAAAACAGGAUAGUUAGCAAUAUGAACAGCAGCCUGACUAUCACAAUAUACAGAAAUAAGAGAAGAAACAGAUACCCCAAGAUCAACCAACAAGCAAGAAAGCCAAGUUAACUCAGCAACAACUUUGCUGAGGGCUCUAUAUUCUUCAUCAGCAGAAGACAGAGAAACAACAUGUUGCUUCUUCGAUUUCCAACUGAUCAAGCAACCACCCAAAAGUACACAAAAUCCAGUAACAGAUCGUCUAGUAUCAUGGCAUGCAGCCCAGUCACUAUCAGAAUACCCAGUAACAGAGAAAUCAGCAUGAGCAGAAUAAAGUAAACCUAAGGAGGGAGUGCCCUUAAGGUAUAUCAGAACAUGCAGGGCAGCAGUCAUAUGGGGACGUCUGGGGCAUUUGAGGAAUUGACUCAGAUGUUGGACUGCAAAGCAUAUGUCAGGCCUAGUAUGAGUCAGGAACAGAAUUUUACCAACUAGACUCCUGUACUGGUCAGGAGAUGAUAAAAGGUCACCAGAAUCAGCAUGAAGUUUGACAUUAAUGUCCAAAGGAGACACAACAGAGGAAAGGAGAUGAUAAAAGGUCACCAUAAUCAGCAUGAAGUUUGACAUUAAUGUCCAAAGGAGACACAACAGAGGAGACAUUUAUACAAUCAAACUGAUGCAGUAAAUCAGAAAUAUACUUAUGCUGAUUUAGG